rnacentral:rRNA from 1 species
GACCAGACUCCUACGGGAGGCAGCAGUGAGGAAUAUUGGUCAAUGGCCGAGAGGCUGAACCAGCCAAGUCGCGUGAGGGAAGAAUGUCCUAAGGAUUGUAAACCUCUUUUGUCGGGGAGCAAAAAGGCUCUGCGGAGUCGUAUUGAGAGUACCCGAAGAAAAAGCAUCGGCUAACUACGUGCCAGCAGCCGCGGUAAUACGUAGGGGGCAAGCGUUACCCGGAUUUACUGGGUGUAAAGGGGGCGCAGACGGCGAUGCAAGCCAGGAGUGAAAGCCCGGGGCCCAACCCCGGGACUGCUCUUGGAACUGCGUGGCUGGAGUGCAGGAGGGGCAGGCGGAAUUCCUGGUGUAGCGGUGAAAUGCGUAGAUAUCAGGAGGAACACCGGUGGCGAAGGCGGCCUGCUGGACAGUAACUGACGUUGAGGCUCGAAAGCGUGGGGAGCAAACAGGAUUAGAUACCCUUGUA